AUGAAAACCAAUGUAUCCCUAUUUUAUCAGGUAAGUUUGAAAUGUUUUAAACAUUAUAGUCGGUACCGUCGUAACCAACAAGCAUUAAUAUGGCUGAUGAAUUCUGCUUCACCAGACAACCCAACCAGGUCUAAAACAUUUCCGUGUUCAAGCACAGUUUCAUCUGGACUCAGCUAUGACAACGAGCUUCCAGGUAAGCAUAUUGUGCCUACUCAUACAUCAAUUGCUUGCAUGUAUCUAUUUUAUUCUCUAAUAUUUGGGAAUGUUCUGAAUGACACCAGAUGUGAAUGUAAUCUUGAAUGA
rnacentral:rRNA from 1 species